GAAUGGAUCAACGAGGGCCCCGCUGUCCCCGCCUGGCACCCGGUGAACCCACCUCGUGGCCGAACAGUCCACGAACCCCCAGCGGGAAAAGAAGACCCCGUGGAGCUUUACUGCAGCCUGUCGCUGGGACACGGUUGCGGAUGCAGAGUGUAGGCGGGAGCCGUUGAUCUCAACCUCUCCGGGGGUUGAGGUAGGCGCC
rnacentral:rRNA from 1 species